GGCAUGGUAGCUUAGUGGUUAGCGCGUUUGCCUCACAUCUCCAGGGUUGAGGGUUCGGUUCCCACCUUUGCCC